GGGCAAAUAGUUUUUCACACCACUGUAAGUCCAUCAGCUUAACCACUCGGCCAUCCUGGCGGGUUGCAAGCAUCAUCUGACUAGUUAGCAAGCAAGUUUGGAGUACUGUUGGGUUGCAAGCAUCAUCUGACUAGCUGGCAAGAAAGUUUGGAUUCAAGUAUAUGAGACUUUAAAACUUGUUCCAGGAGUGAAUAUACAUGUACAUGGCUCAGAACUGAAAAGAAGAAAAUAAAACCUAUAUAACAUCUACUAAACUGGGACAAAAGUAUGAUUUGAAUCUCUUUGAAUCACAUCAACCAAUACUCUUAAUGAAUUUGUCAUCCAUUGAAAAACAAAUACCACACCACAGAUCCCUUUGUUUACUGUAAACGUUUUUAUCCUUAUGAUUCCAGUAGAGGUCUGACUUCUGUCAGUACUUGGUAAUUAAAAGAAGAACGAAAAGUACCCCCGCUUGAUCAAUUAGACUAAAGCAGUCACAAUAUGUCCACAAUAUGUCCACUAGGUCACUAAUAGUGACCUAAUGGACAUAUAUAGGUAUAUAUGUCUUCUUUAUAUUGUGAAUUUGUCAUCCAUGCCCAUUAAAGCAGCCGUUGUUGCUGGUCCAAUUUGAAAUGAGUGGCUUUUGUAUUUAUCAACAGGGAGGCCAAGAUGCUUAAUGCACCUUUUGAAUAUUUGACACAGCUGACAUUUUGACAAGUAAGAACCAUCUGCAUGCCAUCAAUCUUAGGUCUUAUAGCAAGAAAUUUAGUAACAGCAGUAACUGAUUCAAGUGUUUAAGGACGCCAAUCCAAACUAUGGCUCCUUUCCCAAACAUAUCAGUUUUGGAUUUACGAAUAAACACUUUAAGCUUAUCAUGAAUUAUAGAGACAUCUUUCAGAAAAAGCCCUCCUAGCUUGUAUUUUGAUUACGACACUGCCUCGCUAAUUCUUAAAGCAGCAAAAUACAUUACUAGGAAUAACCCUUGAAAAGGUUUUAGCUCAUAUAACGAUGAACAAAUUAUCUCCAAUGCAACUAACAUUUUGUGUAAUAUGUGAUUGGUGUUCUAUCUUCUCUGCUAACACUUACUUUAGAUAUACCCUUACAAAUCUGUUUUAUCACUGGUGCUUUUGUCACAUCCAUUGCACCCAGUAUUCUAAUGAAAAAGGAAAUUCCUGCUAGUUGUUUUUUAAUGUAUGAUGAAGUUUGUUGAGCUUCAACAUGCUCUAACAGAUACAAUAAGAAACAGUCUAUAUCCGAUGUUCCAGAUCCUUGUAGAUUCACAAAAUCUUGCCAUUCCAUCCAAGCGCUGAUGUAUGCUAACCAGUUUUUUUUCUGAUACUGAUUUCUGUAAUAACUUUACUAACAUUAAUAACAUUGUGUUACAAGGUCCCAUAGGUAUGAAGGGAAACUGAAAACGAGAGAGAGCAUCAGCUAAGCAAUUUUGAUAAUCCGGUACAUGCUUGGCUAUCAACAAAAUAUUCUGUUCUAAAACCCUCAGCAAUAUUUUUCUAAAAACAGUAACAACUGGGGGUGAUUUAACUGAUAAAUUAUUUAUGACUUUGACCACUCCCAUAUUAUCUGAAUGAAGCCUGAUCCUCCUAUUUGCUAACCUAGAGCCCCAAAUGUCUAAAACUACCAACAUGGGGAAUAUUUCUAAUAAGACUAGGUUACUAAUCAGUAACUAAGAAGCUUUUCUGCUGGGAGUCGAAACUCCAUCUGUAAUGUAUCUAACUUCUAUUCCUAAAAACUGCAAAUUAGUAGUAGGAGAAAUAGUUUUUUCCUUUGAUAUAGGAAUACAAAAUUGUUUUGAUAAGGCCAAAAAUGUAUUUAAUAAAAUUGUGCAUGUUUUAGUGCCAGCUGGACCCACAAAAAGAAAAUCAUCGAGAUAGUGAAGGACAUGCUGAGAGCUAGUUUCUAAUUUUACUAUCCAUUCUACAAAUGUAACAAAAUUUUCAAAAUAUUGACAAGAUAUAUAAUAUAUUUGCAUAAAUGCAAAAUGCCUGUAGCCAAUUUGAGAAAGUUCUGGCUACAGGUCUCCAUCUUUCCACCUCUGAAUCCCCUUUACGCUCAGUUUUAAGGAAUUUCUUUGCUGCCGGUAAAAGAGAAAGAAUGUCUAUAUACUCUUCCUUUAUAAUUUUCUCUUUAACGGCAGCAGAUAAAUGCAAGCCCAAUGGAGUAGUUUGGCAAACAAAUGAGUCUUUAUAAGAUUAUUCAUUAACCCCUGUGCUUGUAUGUGUUACAGCCACACCAGGAGUGUUGUGUUCGGGAGUCACUUGUUGCAAUAACUUACCUAGCUACUUUAAGACCUCAGACGCCUUGUCAGACUGCAUAACGCUUGCUCUUGCUGGACCUGUGAGGGAACAGACUGGGAAGGAGAAGAAACAGCAGCCUGAUUGACUGGCAAUUAUUUCUCAACAGUCACACUUUGAAAUCCAAAGACAGCAUUGACAGUUCCUCUCUGUGGGCAGUGAUUAAGCAAGCUCAGAAAAACAGCUUCGUCGAUGAAAACCAAUACUCCAAAGAAUCUCUACAUACAUACACAAAUAUACAUACACUGUACUAACAUUUCGACUUCAGAUUUUCAGGAUUUUCCUUUUUUGGUUGUGGCCUACUUUCGUAACACAUUUUUUUAGGGGUUUUUAAUUUUUUUUUUAAACAGAACUUUAUCUGAGUAAAGUAUGUAGACAUGGCUAUAAUAUAGGUUAUCAAAUAUAGGUUAUCAAAUAAUAAGAAUCCAUGAGUUACAAUUGGUAGAGUACAUGUCAAUGGCCAUCUGUAUUUUACAUCACAUUUUAAACAACCUAUAUAUUUAUUCAACUGUGCUUUUAUUUUUUGUAACUAACUUGCUUAAUAAAGAUAACAUUAUAAACCAAA